GCCUGGGUGGCUUGGUCAGUUGAGCAUCUGACUUUGGCUCAGGUCAUGGUCUUGAGGUUUGUGAGUUCAAGCCCCACAUCAGGCU
rnacentral:tRNA from 1 species